AGUUUGAUCCUGGCUCAGGAUGAACGCUGGCGGUAUGCUUAACACAUGCAAGUCGAACGGGGGGCUUAGGCUCCUAGUGGCGGACGGGUGAGUAACGCGUGAGAAUCUGCCCUUAGGACGGGGACAACAGCUGGAAACGGCUGCUAAUACCCGAUGUGCCGAGAGGUGAAACAUUUUAUGGCCUGGGGAUGAGCUCGCGUCUGAUUAGCUAGUUGGUGGGGUAAGAGCCUACCAAGGCGACGAUCAGUAGCUGGUCUGAGAGGAUGAUCAGCCACACUGGGACUGAGACACGGCCCAGACUCCUACGGGAGGCAGCAGUGGGGAAUUUUCCGCAAUGGGCGCAAGCCUGACGGAGCAAGACCGCGUGCGGGAGGACGGCCUAUUGGUUGUAAACCGCUUUUGAUAGGGAAGAAGCUCUGACGGUACCUAUCGAAUUAGCAUCGGCUAACUCCGUGCCAGCAGCCGCGGUAAUACGGAGGAUGCAAGCGUUAUCCGGAAUUAUUGGGCGUAAAGCGUCCGUAGGUGGUUGUUCAAGUCUGCUGUUAAAGCGUGCGGCUUAACCGCAUAUCAGCAGUGGAAACUGGACGACUAGAGUGCGGUAGGGGUCAGGGGAAUUCCCAGUGUAGCGGUGAAAUGCGUAGAUAUUGGGAAGAACACCGGUGGCGAAAGCGCCUGACUGGACCUGCACUGACACUGAGGGACGAAAGCUAGGGGAGCGAAAGGGAUUAGAUACCCCUGUAGUCCUAGCCGUAAACGAUGGACACUAGGUGUUGCCCGUAUCGACCCGGGCAGUGCCGUAGCCAACGCGUUAAGUGUCCCGCCUGGGGAGUACGCUCGCAAGAGUGAAACUCAAGGAAUUGACGGGGGCUCACACAAGCGGUGGAGCAUGUGGCUUAAUUCGAGGCUACGCGAAGAA
rnacentral:rRNA from 1 species